rnacentral:lncRNA from 1 species
AGUGUGGAAACGCCCGCUGAGGGGCACACAGUGAGGUGGCCACUGGCUCUGUGUCCUUGGGGAAGCCCCUUCUGCGGUCCCCUCCACUGUCUGCGUGACCAAGUGGACGUAGAACUCCCCCAUCUGCUGCUGUCCAGGGCGGGUGAGGACCCUACACACACACGGUGUGUUUGUGAGCUGUGCAGAGUGGGGUCUCCCUGGCAAUGGCCACAGCCUCCAGGGGCGCUGACACCUCCCGUCUAACUAGUAGACAGUUUCUGCCUCUUCCUGUUUGGGGAUUGGAGAGGAAGUGCGUCUGGAUGACUACUAAGGUGACAGGAACUCCAUUCGCACCAGCUUACAUUAAAAAAAGAGGAGGGAGAAUAUGGUCGAGUGACCGCAGGAGCGAUGGGGAGCGCAGACAGAGUUUCUCCCUGCUCUGGAUAGCAGAUCCGCUGGCUCCUAGCUUAUGAUCCAUGAAGAGAACGCCUUCCCCUUGGGCUUCAAUUUGAAGAAUCCUGAAGAGGACCCUGAUGGCCUCUCGUGGUCCGCGUGCCCCUUCUUGCACAACCGUGAUG